AUUGGGACUUUCAGACAGCAAGAGGCAAGGGAGAGAGGCAAGGAGAGGAGAGACAAAGUUUAUAUCAGGCUUGGGAGAGAGAAAAACCAAGCAGCCAUGUGAUUUCGGGAGGAGCUGCAGCUUGUGGUUGCGCCUACAGUCAGGAGGUUGGCAGGGACUGGAUGUAACUGAACAACUAAAGUUUAGGGCAGGUGGAGAGAUGUAUAAACUUUCAAAGAGGAUAUACAUUUGUGCACUAGCAUAUGUAUGGGAUGUUCAGUGUUCACCACUCGGCUAAGGACUCUCUGUUCUCUGUCUGAGCAGAUGACCCCUGGCUGUGACCAACCAACUUGGGGCCUCUGAAACUCCCAGAAGCUUCCAUGGGAGAUGAUCAGAAUCUGUGUGAAUCUGUAUGAAAGUCAGCCCUGUGAUACCCAGCUCCCCGAGGUAGCACCUCAGGAACACUGCAGCAGACCUUGGGCUCCACACCCUGCUCCUGAAACUCCCAGGCAUCCCAGAGCAGGUGCAGUCUCUGGAGCUGAUACCCUAGGUCUCCACCAUGGCACUCUGCAGACCCCACACACGCUGGCCUCACCCCUUCCCAGGCCUCAGACAUCCACUGUGGCCUGUCUCACAGUGCAGGUAUUACAACAGUGCAGGCUGGCAAGGCUGCAGAUCAGGGGAAACCACCACCACCACCACCACCACCACCGAGAAGCAGGCUUGUUAUGGCCCCUCCCCCGUGCCACCAAGGUCACCUGGGGAAGCCCCAGGGAUGAUCAGCAAGCAGAAGAAGCAAGGUCCCUACAGACCAUCGAAGCAGUAGACCCCAGGGGACUGAAAUUACCUCGGAACUCUUGAGAGAAGAAAGCCUAAAGCGUGGACCAGCAAGAAGAGAAACUAUUUUGGAAAGAGAGUUCCAAUUUGUCACGCCACUUUGCAGGAGAGGCAGUGAUGGGUGGGACUGCACCUUACCCAGGACUGUUGAAAUACGCAUAACUGGUUUCCACUUUUACCUCAACCUCAGAUCAGGACUAGAAAGAUGGACUUGCCAGAGUCCCUGGAUAUCUGUCCCCUUUCCCAGUGUGGCCAUCUGCAGACUCUGUUCUAGCGAAUCCAGGCCUUCCCGCUUCCUAGGCCUCAGGUGAACCUUGGCACUUUCCCCACCACCUGCCACCCCUCAGCCCAUCCCUGCAGCUUCUGUGGACACACCUCCCUCCUGGGACACUUCUGAGGCGGCACCUCAGAGGCCCCAGGGGUAGGACCUACAGGACAAAGGUCUUCAGCGCCCAAUCUGGGGUAAUUAAUUAAGCAUUCACUCACCUCUCUCAGGGAAAGUCACACAAUACACAAAGCUGGGCUAGAAACCCGCACAGUGGCCUAAUGUUGCCCGGUUGCUCUAGCCAGCUACCUCAAGACGCAAUGCAGCCUUGUCCUGUGGCUCACCAUACAGACAUUACCAUGAUGCAUGCUGGCAGUUCGGGUUUUUGAAAAUUAAAAAUUUAAAAAACAAAAGUUAAAU